rnacentral:snRNA from 1 species
GGAUGCAAGGGCAAUCUGGCUACAGUAGCUGUCACCCCGGUGAUCACCAGGAUUGACUGGGCUGAUCUGGCUGGCUAGGCGGGUGUCCCCUUCCUCCUUCACCACUCCAUGUGUGUGGCUGCUGAAGCUGUGCACUGAAUAACCUUCUCCAGAGAGAGACCGACCGGUCUUCAGUUGAGGGUAUAUGAGUAGCUACACUCUCCUGCUAGAACCUUCAAAGAAGCCCUCACAUGUCAUUCUAUUUGUAGAGGCUGUUAUUUAUUUAUUCCCUUU